AAAACGACUCUCGGCAACGGAUAUCUCGGCUCUCGCAUCGAUGAAGAACGUAGCGAAAUGCGAUACUUGGUGUGAAUUGCAGAAUCCCGUGAACCAUCGAGUCUUUGAACGCAAGUUGCGCCCCAAGCCUUUUGGCCGAGGGCACGUCUGCUUGGG
rnacentral:rRNA from 1 species